CAAUCAUUAUAGACUUUACAUAUAUGUCACAUAUAAUAUAAUGUUUAAAUAUAUUAUAUAUAAUGUGAUAAGGCCUGUUCGAGACAAAAAGCCAUUGAAUACCCACUUUGAAAAUCACAGAGCUCUCAUUGACUCAGAGUGGGAAUCCUGGUUACGAUGUUGGUAAUGGGCUGCGGUUAGCCUGUGAUGAGAAGACGUGCUCUGUCUUUCCAUUGCAGGCACAGCAGUGUAAACUUGGAAAAGGGAAGAGCAGCAGGGUCCUGGUAGCCCAGUUUUUGCCAUGCUGAGAUGAGGACACAGGGUUAAGAAGGCAUGAAGAAGAAGAAGUGGUCCAUGCCUAUGAUCCGACUAUCUGAGAUGCUGAGGCCAGAGAAUCAGAAGCCUUAGCUGCCUAGCAAGGUCAAGGCCAGCCUGGGUUACACGCUCAAAUAAGCAAACAGAAAAACUGGAGCAACAAAGAAAGAGAGGGGAGAACAUCGGAGAGGGGAGAGAGAUACACAGACAGAGAUUGACAGAUAGAUAGAUGUUCAUUAAGAAAGAGAAAACAAACACAUUGUAAAAACAAAAGAACACUGGGCUAUAGAGUGAGUUCUAGUUUAGUCAGGGUUACACCGAGAAAUCCUGUCUUCAAAACAAAACAAAACAACAAACAACGAGGAAAACAACUGGGGAGAAGAAUUAAGAGAAGUUAAGAGUCUGGAGUAAAGAGUUCUAGGAGUCUCACAAGCAUUAAGCCCUUGAAAAAGGAGAAACUGCUUUCUGUGUUGUCAGGGAGUGAAGAAACUUUAUCACCUAGACAGGAAGCUCAUCUCAGCCUUCCUGGUCUGCAUCUCAGAGCUUUGGCAAACACUAGGAACCCAGCCAACUGGUCUGGGGCAGCCCUCUUCCUGCUGAUGCCUUGUGAGACUUGUGACACAGCAGGUGUGCUGACCCCUUCUGCAUUCCUGAGAGAGAAUUUCCAGUCUGUCCAGUAACUCCAGAAAGUUGUUCUCUCACCUCCAUAUAUGGACAAUGGCAUGUGUGCAACCGCCCCCUCCCGUCCCCCACUCACACUUAGAGAAAGAAGAAAAAAAGACCAGCGUGCACUAUGCAGAAAGUUCCAGAGCAUCCUGGACUACAGAGUUCGACCCUGUCUCAAAACAAACAAACAAACAAACAGGAAAUAAAGGGGGAAAAAAGGAAGCUAAGGAAUUUACAGAGAAAUGUUAGGACUGUUAACCUAAAGAUUUCUUUCCGUUUGGGGUCUGGGUUGAGGAAAAUCCAUCCACUUCUCAGGAGACUAUGAAUUGUCACUAGAAGGCCAUUCACCUUUUUUCUUUUUUCUUUUUUUUUUAAGAUUUACUUUAUUAUUUUAUGUGUAUGGGUGUUUGCACAUAUGUUUGUGCACCACGUGUGUGCCUGAUGCCCUCAGAGGUCAGAAGAGGAGAGUCUGAUUCCCUGCAAUUGGAAUUAUUAGCCACCGUGUUGUUUCCAGGACUCAAACCCGGGUCCUCCACUCUUAACCACUGAGCCAACUGCCUAGCCCCAUCGUUCCACAUGAGUCAAAUGACUCUCCUUGGACUUAGUCAUCAAACAUGAACGCUCUUGCCUACCUAUGCAGGAAGUAAAAGUUCUAAGUCACUGUGUGCCAGUGAGGUUAAAACAAACAAAACUUAAAUAGAAGGAAAUGGAACAAAACCAUUCCUAGAGCAGGCGGUGUCCUGUCUUGCCAUAGCUCAUGCUACAACAGCUCUGGGCUCAUAGGCUCUGGAAGAAGGUACUAGAUGCUUGGUGCCCAGACUGGAGCAGGCAGCAUCCUUUAAGUCCCUAAUUCUAAAGUUCAGUUGAAACCAACCUUUCAGUUUUGCCUGUUGUUCAGAGUUUGUCUCCAAUUGAACUGCACUCUCAGAAACCUCCCUGCUGGCUGCUUUUUCAGAGUCUCUGUCAUGAACGUUUCUACACUCCCCCAGCCCACUCCCAGAAGCAGCAGUGCUGGUCACUGGCACCUGAAAGUCUCCAUCAGAGGAUAGAUGAGCAUCAGGGACGUUGUCUCUUAUGGCCCUGUACUGGCUGGUUUUCUGUGUCACCUUGACACAAGCUAGAGUCAUCACAGAGAAAGGAACCUCAACUGAGAAGAUGUUUCCAUUAGACCCAACUGUAGGACAUUUUCUCAAUUAGUGAUCAAUGGGGAAGGCCCAGCCCAUUGUGGGUAGUUCCGCCCCUGAGCUGGCUGUCCAAGGUUACAGAAGAAAACAGGCUGAGCAAGCUAUGGAAAGCAAGCCAGUAAACAGCACCCUCCAUGGCAUCAGCUUCUGCCUCCAGGUUCCAGCCUGCUUGAGUUCCUGUCCUGACUUCCUCCGAUGAUGGACUAUGAUCUGGAAGUGUGAACUAAAUAAACCCUUUCCUCCCCCAACUUGCUGUUUUGGUCAUGGUGUCGCAGCAAUAAAACCCUAAGACAGAUCUCCAACAAAAUGAUCUAAAACUGAGGGCCUGUUGGGUACAAUGACAGGAGAGAUUUGGAUGAGUCUGUAGCUAAUUGCACUAUCCUGUCACUGAAUUCCACCCUCCCACUAACUUUUUGUUUACAAGAGCUUAUAAGAACUUAUAAUUGUUUAUAAGAACUCUGAAGAGAGAGUCUUGCCUAGCCUUGCUAGCCAAGAACUCACAAUGUAGACCAGCAUGACCUCAACCUCUCAGAGCUCUGCCUGUCCCUGCCUCCCUGAUUAAAGGCAUGCGCCACCAGCCUAGCUCCCUUUGAACCUUUGGUCCUUCCUCCCCCCUCUCUCAGGACUGAGACUGUAAGCCUGCACCACUACAUCUGGCUUGUAUGGUGCUUUGUCUCAAACUCAAACUUAUUAGGCAAGCACUCCACCAACUGAACCACCUCUCCUGCACCUUGUAAAAGGAUUCUUAUAAGUCCACGCUCUUCCUGUUCUGAGAGUUUCAAGCAUCCCUUAGAGGUCCUUGAGACAGUUCCAGUAAGUGAGUCUCGCUGUCGACUGAAAUGGACAAUCCCACUGUCCUGAAACAGUCCCUGAGAGCUUGGUAUAAUCCAUCCUUGCAUCCCUCAUGCCUAGUGUCACGUCUGCUAUUCAGAGAGUCAAUAAAUAUUUGUCAAAUCAA